rnacentral:rRNA from 1 species
CCCUUAGAUGUUCUGGGCCGCACGCGUGCUACACUGAGUGGAUCAGCGGGUCAGGUUGCGCGAAAGUGUUUCCUAAUCUUGAAAUCCGCUCGUGAUGGGGAUUGACGGUUGCAAUUUUCCGUCAUGAACGAGGAAUACCUUGUAAGCGCGGGUCAUCAUCCCGCGCUGAAUACGUCCCUGCCCUUUGUACACACCGCCCGUCGCUCCUACCGAUUGAAUGAUCCGAUGAAUAUCAUGGAUUGAGGAUUAUAGCAGGUUCGCCUGUCUUGAUCUUCGAGAAGUGAAGUAAAUCUUAUCAUUUAGAGGAAGGAGAAGUCGUAACA